rnacentral:misc_RNA from 1 species
GCGUUCGGAUAUGCUCUUGUAGGCUCUUGUCGGACUGGCUGCAGUUGUUGAUGCGUGAAUGCGUGUCCGUGUGUCAUCUGUCGACAGUUCGUGUGCGCGCGUGUUAUGCGGGCGGUACACUUUGAGCGUUGUAUCUGCAAGUUUCACUUACAGUUGUGGAUUCGCGAGCUGGAAAAGUAGCGUCAGCACUGAAACCGUGGCGUUUUGAACUUCGUUGUCGCUUGUCUUCGUCUACGGAAGGUGCAGUGCUUGUUAGCUGCCUAUGAGGGAUGAGCAAGGGGGCAAAGCCUUGGCUGCUCCAAGGUCCAACGUCCAGACUCUCCGUGAGCUGUUUAGUGACAAGGAUGCCAGAUGCAUGCCGCAUGUUGCCAGUCUCAAGAAGCGAGAAGGCCCAACUGAGGUGCGGAUACCUCGUCCCAGCCUUGCACCAAAGCCAUCCAACAACCGCAAGUUGUCUCUUGGCCCUGCCAAGGAGCCAUGUGCUGAGCCCCCCAGCCCUGCUGGCCAGAGCAGCUUGUCGGGAAGCCUGCCUCGGGUGGGUGGGGUGUCCACCAGGAGAGCGUCCUUUGAGCAUUGCAGAGUGGCCACAGUGCAGCAAACGGAGCUGCUGUCUCCAUCACCAGAGAUUGUUUCUGCAGAAGUCUCAUCAAGUAACCUCAGCUGUGAGGACUCCCCCUUACCCCAGGCAUUGCAUCUGGUUGCGGUGGAUAAGAGCCCUGCCUCUGAGAGCCUGUGCUGUGAUGCUUCCUCUCUGUCUGAAGAGGAGGACUACGUGACACCCAUUUCCUUAUCAUCGAAGCCGCUAGAAGCCGGUCGCCAAGGGAAUGUUGUAUCAUCACGACUGAGGAGCGAGCAAGCACCACUACGCCCCCUUAAGUCUCCUGAGGGUUCUUCACCCAAGGCGAAGCCCAAGCUUCCUGAGCCCCCCCUAUAUGUGCCACCACAGCUUGUGCGUCAUCCUGUGGUGCCUGGCUGGCAGCGGUGUGAGCUGCCUGUGGCAGCUACUGCUUGCCCUCCAAAGCCGGCCAGGCCCUCUGGAAUGCGCCUGCUGGUCUACUCUAGUCUACCGAAUGUUGCACCCAAUGCAGCCCAGCCAGACAGACCUUCAUUGCCCAACCGAAGCACUCCUCCUGUGCCCCCAUCACGAGCCCCACCGCCCCGUCCCUCGGUGCCCAAACCACCACGGCUACUGCCAUCACUGCCCACCACACCAGCGGACGAUACGUGCUCGGAGCCCAGGCAGCCAACAUCUCCUAUCCCUGAAUACACGGAGGAUGAAGAGUUGGGCAACAUGGCAGCCGAUGAGGAGCUGUAUGCAGACACUGAAAUGGAUGAGACACCACCCUCACUGCCACCAGCACGCACUCCUUCUGCACCGCUGCGAUCACCCGACGAGGAGCUCUACCAAGAUACCCUGGAAGAGCUCUAUGAAGAGAUGCCAACAGACGAGACUGCACCUGCCUUGCCACCUCCGAUGAAGGUGCUGGACAACCUGCCCAGGAAAGAAAAGCGCGACAGUGUGUGCAAGGCAUUUGGGUGGGCUAUGCUGACCUGACGAACAUAGAGGUAGAUGCUGAAUCCGUCAAAUUUAUUAUGACGUCGCACAGAAGCUCAUGUGCAAGCUUGAGGAAGCAACAAGCAAGUGCUGUGCAGAGUGAAGAUGAAGAAG